AAUGUCGUAACAAGGUUUCCGUAGGUGAACCUGCGGAAGGAUCAUUACCGAGAUAGGGUUCCUUCGGGGGACCCGACCUCCAACCCACUGUUUACAAAAUCCCAUGUUGCCUCGGCGGAACGUCGGUGAGCUUCGAUAGAAGCCCCAGCCUCAGACCCUGAUUUUAAGGGUAUCGGAGCGCUUUCGCCGGCGGAAUUAUACACGAAAGCCCUUGCUGAAACCUGGCCGUCUGAGUGAAAACUUUAAUACUCAAAAU
rnacentral:misc_RNA from 1 species